UGCUAAUAAAUGUAAAUAGUG
ensembl:piRNA 21ur-1543 ncRNA